GAGAGCCGUGUACGAGGAGAUCUGUCAGCACGGUUCGGAGGCGAGUGCUUGGAAACCUGCCAUGGUAAAACAUGGCAAGGCGCCGGGUGCUUAGCCAGU
rnacentral:ncRNA from 1 species